rnacentral:rRNA from 1 species
GUUUGCGAUCAUACCAGCACUAAUGCACCGGAUCCCAUCAGAACUCCGCAGUUAAGCGUGCUUGGGCGAGAGUAGUACUAGGAUGGGUGACCCCUGGGAAGUCCUCGUGUUGCAACCC